UGCCUCUAGCAAAACUAGUAUUAGAGGUACUGCCUGCCCAGUGACAUAGUUUAACGGCCGCGGUAUCCUGACCGUGCAAAGGUAGCAUAAUCACUUGUCUUUUAAAUAAAGACUAGUAUGAACGGCAAAACGAAGGCUAAACUGUCUCCUCUAUCUAAUCAGUGAAAUUGAUCUUUUGGUACAAAAGCCAAAAUAAAAAAAUAAGACGAGAAGACCCUAUGAAGCUUCAAACAUAAUAGAAAGUUUUAACAUUACAUGCCAAUACCACUUCUAUGUAGUUUUUGGUUGGGGCGACCACGGAGAAAAAAAAUCCUCCGAGUAUAAGACUGUAGGGUAACCACCCAAAACAUCAGAACCAACUGCCACCAUUGAUCCAAUUAUUUUUGAUCAACGAACCAAGUUACUCUAGGGAUAACAGCGCAAUCCUCUUUUAGAGCCCAUAUCGACAAGAGGGCUUACGACCUCGAUGUUGGAUCGGGAUAACCUAACAGCGCAACAGUUGUUAAAGGUUUGUUUGUUCAACAAUUAAAAUCCC
rnacentral:rRNA from 1 species